rnacentral:rRNA from 1 species
AUUGAACGCUGGCGGCAGGCCUAACACAUGCAAGUCGAACGAGUGGCGGACGGUUGAGUAAUGUCUGGGAAACUGCCCGAUGGAGGGGGAUAACUACUGGAAACGGUAGCUCAUACCGCAUACCAUCUGAUGUGCCCCGAUGGGGUUAGCUAGUAGGUGGGGUAACAGCUCACCUCGGCGACGAUCCCUAUCUGGUCUGAGAGGAUGAGCAGCCACACUGGAACUGAGACACGGUCCAGACUCCUACGGGAGGCAGCAGUGGGGAAUAUUGCACAAUGGGCGCAAGCCUGAUGCAGCCAUGCCGCGUGUAUGAAGAAGGCCUUGGGGUUGUAAAGUACUUUCAGCGAGGAGGCGUUACUCGCAGAAGAAGCACCGGCUAACUCCGUGCCAGCAGCCGCGGUAAUAC